rnacentral:lncRNA from 1 species
ACAGAGCACUGUGUUUCUCAGGACUGUAAGAAUAGUGGCCCACUACCUUCAGCUCAAAUCAAAGGAGAGAAUGUUUGCAAGCUUGUUCGGCUCCCCUGUAGCUGGUCAUAAUUUCCCACUCAAUUAUCUUCACCAUAGAAUAGUAGGCAGAGGAACUGGGCCCAGCUUAUACAUUUCCAUGAAUAGGUCUCUGCCUAUUCAAUAAAUGACCCUUCUGGGAGUCUACAUCCGAAACAGUGAGUGACAGCCACCUGGGAGCAAGGAAUGCAGGGGAGGUGAGUGUCACUCAUUCCAUCAAGAAUAUGUCUAUUCCUUUCCCUACUAACCUUCCUUUCCAAAGUAUAGUGACAUGUUGUAGGGGGAGCUGGGGCCUACUAAAGAUCUAUCAGACUGUAUUAUGUAAAAUUUGGUAUUUUAUAUAAUAUGUAAUAUGAUUGAAAAAUAUCCUGUCCAAAAAAACACACUUGAUUGUUUUUAAGGUUUAUUGAUACUUGUUUUGACUUUUAUGUCAACUCUCCAUCCUGGGGCUAGGUUACAUCCUAACUUUAAUAUUUAAGAGAAUUCUUUUAAGCAGAGAAAUUGGAUCAGUAAUAAACUCCUCCAUGGAGAAUCA